rnacentral:lncRNA from 1 species
GUUAUCAGCUUUUUCAAAUGAUUUAAAAAGGGAAUAAACAGAGAGAACAGUAAUGAGAUUGAAAAACUGAAAAAAAAAAAUUUGACUAAAACUGAACAUAUUUAGCAGGGCAGUGGUUAUUCUAAUAUUACUUAAAGUAUGUUUAUGAUUGUAACUGAUUUGGUGGAAAUGACAAAAAAAUAAGCAUUUAAAACUGGAGAACACAAAGGAGAAAAGGGGG